GACGGAGGGGGCGAGCGUUGUUCGGAAUUACUGGGCGUAAAGCGCGCGUAGGCGGUGGAUCAAGUGGGAAGUGAAAGCCCCUGGCUUAGCUGGGGAUGGGCUUGCCAAACUGAUCGACUCGAGUGCCGGAGGGGGACGCGGAAUUCCUGGUGGAGCGGUGAAAUGCGUAGAGAUCAGGAAGAACGUCGGUGGCGAAGGCGGCGUCCUGGACGGACACUGACGCUGAGGUGCGACAGCGUGGGGAGCGAACGGG
rnacentral:rRNA from 1 species